CUUAGUGCUGGCUCUCAAGAGACCCCCAGGUAUCAGUUGCCUCCAGUCCCCUCUCUUUCUGAGGAGACAGUUCAUUGCAGUUGAGGCAAAGGUCAAAUCCAACUGUGUAGGCAAGCUUUGUUCUGGCAUUGGUGAGUCUACUUUUAUAGACACAAAGUCAUCCUCUCUCCUACCCUUCAGUGAAUUUUCAUCCCUUCAGAAUGUUAGAAAUAUCAACUUGUAUAUGGGCAGACCUUCCUCCUGCAGAUCUAAAACCGGUACUGGUGACUGCUAAGGAUACUAAUGUAAACGUCAAACACCAGACACUCUGUUAAGGCUACAUUUAAACUCUAAAUACAGCGUAUUUGGAAGUGAGGGACUGAACCAUUGAAACAAUAUUCCUGCUACACAGUGUAGUGCAUUCUAACUAGCAGAUGAGAGCAUUUCAAGUGCUUGGUUUUGGACUGACAUUAAAACCUUUGCGAAAUAGUUUAACCUAGUUUUUCCCCUUCAUGCUCUUCCUCCUGGAAAUAUUCAUAAGGCUAUUUCUUGCCUUAAUUUUAGCAUCUCAAUUCGUGUCUUGGUUUUGUUUGCUUUCUGAGGUAAAGAAAUCGUGGAUCUCUAUUCUUGGUCAUAAGCCCCUUUCUAACUGGUGGCUUUUACAUUUUAUUUAUUUGGUAAUACUACCAUGAGAUUGGGGAGUGGCUCAUUUCUGCAGGGUAAAAGAGAUGGAGGGGAUCCAAGCAAUUAGCUAUUUUUUACUUUGAAGUAGUUUAAGGAAAGGCUAAUGAAUAAAUCCUAAUAAAAAUACUAACGAGAACUAUUCACUUCUUCCCCGUACUAAUAAUCAUCUUUUCUAAUGGGAAGAUGUGUUGCAAAGGCCUGCCCCUACCAUUAGAAAAUUGUCUUCUGAUAUUUUCUUGUUGAUGAAAUUUUAACUCAGGGAGCUCUUCCCAAACAGCCAUCAGCUGAGCCAGGAUGUGCAUUAGCAGGCUAAUGGCAGGCAUCCUGCGUUGCUGAAGGCCGCGUGUCACAUGGCAGUCCUUGAGGAGCUGGCCGCAUUGCUUGGAGCACUUAAUCCUGGCGCUGCUAAAGCAAUUCUUGUGCUCCCAGUGCCUCCUUUGGGAGACUGCUCCGUUGACUAAUAGACCUCACUGUCAGGAAGUCUUUCCUGUUCUUCAGUCUUACUGAUCUCAGUUCCAAUAUAUUUCACUGUAAUGUCUUUUACUGUUCUUUAAUGAAAAAUUUAAAGAGAGAAGCAAAAAGUCAUCACACUUGUAUAAAGACUUGAAACUAAGCUAGUUUUCAGUCUUCACUGUAAAACUUGUAGAACUUGGGGGUUUUAGCUAAAUGCUGCCUGCACACAAUUUUGGGCUGAUGGCAGCAGGAUCCGGAAGCUGGCAAGCAUCAAUCCACUCGUAAAUAAAACUGCUGCAACUUUGAUUCUGUCAGCGAUGGAUGUGCGUGCCUGUGACAUGUACAAAAGCUGGCAGCUAAUGAAAACUGAGCUGAGCUGCUCAAGGGAAGCUUGUGGAGUUACACAAUAUGCUUCUUGAGAUGUCACAAGGAAGCCAUGGGCUGGGGAUGUGGAGGAGAGAUCACCAGGGCUGUGUUUUGCACGAAAACUGGUGUCAGUACAACAGCAGCCGGGAAAGCUCUGUAGUUUGAGCUGUUUGCAGCCAUUGCCCGCCAUGUGGUGAGGCUGGUGGGCAGGAAGUAGCCGGAGAGAGGUUUUCACAAGGACUUGUUGUUUGGUUGCUCAGAUUAUAUCAGCAUUCUGGGUAUUGAGAGGGAUUUAGCCUUUGGGUUUUGCUUUCAGCUUUAUUUAUUUUUCCCUGUUCUCAAUUCUCUUUGUGAAUACCAAUAUUCUGAGUCACCCAGAAUGAUUUCUGCCUUCAUUAAAGAUUCCUUCCAGCUCAACUUCAACUGCCUGUGGGCUGCUCUCUGCCCCUGCCUCCCCCUAUGCACUUUGCUGCAUAUAUUUAGCUCUCGGUAUUCCAUCACUCCUCAACUCCUGCAGCUCUGGCACUUCAACACCUUCAACCAUAUUAAGCCACACUGUACCUUUGAUUCUUUGCAUGACUUGUGUUCUUCACUUGACCUGUUGUGUAUUGUCUCUGCGACUUCUGAAACAUGUUCUUAAGCAUUUCAGAUGUGGCAUGAGGCUAUAGCUUAUCGUAGUCCUACACGACAGCAGCUCUGCCUAGAGCUGAUUGAGUGAAAUGGUCAAACCAGGAAACUGGGCAUCCAGCCUCUGUAGUCUAUUCCAUUACACUGUGUCCUUCUGCAUAGCCCUGGCUAAAUUGAUUUCCCUUCUUGUGUCUUUGUUUCUUUGAUAAGACCUUGGGCUUUAAAUUGCCUAUGGUAUCUAGACCAAACAAACAGGACUACAUUUCCCUAAAACUAAAAUUAAAAGAUAGGAUAUGAAAAAGAAGUAAUUGUAUAGUUCUUCAGUGGGUAUUCCUACAGGAAUUGCUGAGCUCUGGUGUGCUCUAAAGCUUGUGUAUAAGAAAUUCUACAAAGCAAUAAAGAAAACAACCUGGAAAAGAAGGAUGAGUCUCUUAGUACUGCACUAAUUGUCGAUACUGUGGAUGUCUUAAUGCUACUUAAUGGCUGUCCCUAAUGCUAUUUAAACAAUGUACAUUUACAUUAGCUUUUUUCAAAGUCCAGAUGAGCUGCUUAGAGCUCUCUUAAUGACACAGAUUAUUUAACGCUCAUUUGUAUGCAGUAUGUUCCUGCUUUGAAAGUACUUCACAGACUUCAAGCCAAAUUCAGCCUCGGAGCUCCGCUAAAGUCAGUGCUUGUCUGUGCAUCUGCUGGUUGUUUUCUUUUCAUUUUUGCUUGAAAAGUUAACUUUGCGUUCUGUUGAUUGUAUUUUUUAAAGGUAAUAUCUGCAAAGGUUUUUUAGCUACCCUUUUAUCUUCCCCGAAAAGUAGCUGUAAAACAAAUGCAGUUUUGUUGAUUCUUACAUCACUCUCUUAACCCCUGUGAAAGGAGGACAGGCUAAGCAGAAUAUAAAUGGUUUGUGUUCUUUUCUUUCCUCUGCUUUGCGCCUCCUCAGCACAGCUUCGGUGAUAGCUGGCACUUCUGAAAACCAUCCUGCAGAGAUCUCUGCCAUCUGAUGUGUGCAAGAUACUGAGUUCUUUCUGUGCCCUGUAUCUGGCCUAACACAAACCAAUGGAGGCCCCGAUCCAUCCUGUACAAUUCUGCAGGUUACUUAUGCUCAGUGUAACCAUGUCAGGAUGUGCUUUCUUAUGGCUCAGAGACAUUAUUUCUUGGGGUUGGACUUUACAAUGCAAUAUUCUUGGUAUGUAAUUUUUAACUUAUCCUGACUGUUUUUAAUAUGCACACACCGAAAGAAAAUAAAAAAUCAUCUGUAGUCGUAUCACUCAGUCCCCCUAGGUAAUGGGUAGGGUGUGAUUUUCAGCUUCCAGCACAGACCCACAACCCUCUACUGCCUGCACAGAGUAAGUGGGAGUAAUGGAAACGCAUCCUUUCUAGAUGUGCGUGCCACUAGAAUGGGCAGAGAUGCUUCUUGUCAGCUGUUUAGAUAUUUGCUGGCAGUACAGGGAUGAGUGAUGAGAUGUGGGAAUAAUGGGUUCUUUUCCAAGCUCCACAGCGGAUCAAGCUAGAUACCCUGUUGCCCUCUUUUAUGUAAUAUCGUUAUAGUGUAUGACUGCUUUCCCUCUCCCUUCUCUGCAGUGCUGUCUUCCAGCUCCUGCCUGUGCUCAUCCUGAUGUUCUCUCCAGCACAGCUCCUUCCUCUCCCUCCCCCAGCUCCUCCCUUCCUGCUAUUCACCCAUCCCUUUUGGCCUCCAUCCUUCCCUCUCUCCUGCUGGGGACGGAUGUAAUCCCCGGAGGAAUGUGGCCCACAGCCCUCUGCAGCACUUGGGUGUGUGGCUCUGGAGAGACACAGACGGGGAAUGCUAAGCAGGAAAAAGCAAUGUUGAAUGCUAAGCAGGAAAAAGCAAUCUCAGGUCACCUGGCAGUGCAGGGAGGGAAGAGCUGGGGGUUGUGGGCUGUUCAAGCCCCUGGCUCUCCUGCCAGCUUCUCAGAUGAAGAACAGAGACUAGAUUUUUGGCUGCAUGUGCUAUUCCCCUGUUCACUGUGUCUAGGCGAUGUAUGAUCUGCCUGUGGCUUUAAUAAAUAUCUUUUGUGGCUACUUGCUUCUUCAGUCCCCCUUGGGAUAGCUCUUUCCAACUCAGCUGCAUCAACGCGCUGAAGAUGUUAAGUCCAAGUGUGUGGUACGGACAAAAGAAGUGAGAGAACUUCAUGUAGACCAUCUAAGCAAACUUUAACUUUAACCCUAUCUCUAUGAAACUUCUCUAUAUUACCCAAGCCUCACCCGUAGUCUAAGUUGCACAAAGCCCUCUCAUUUAAUCGCAUUAACCCCUCUUUCUUUCCUCUUUUUGUAUUUUUGUGUCCAUAGAGCAUUCAUAAGUGUUUGCAAGGAGAACCCUGAACUCCUGCUAGGACCCAAAUUUCUGUUGAUUUUUAAGAAGGCUUUGCAUGUAGGAUGUUGUGUUUUAGAGAGUAUCCUGGGAAUUUCAACAGGGGUGCUUGGAAAGAAUAUAUAUAAAGAUCAGAAUUCUGUGUUUGAAAACCAAGUUUUGUCCUAUGUAGUAAGAACCUAUCUUAACCCUACUAGAGCAGAACUGCCCCCCCCUGCCCUUUUCUACCAGAAACCAGAGUUGUUGUUAAUUACUAUCUUGCUGAAAACUAAGUCUUUGCCAUCUGUUCCGCCCCCUCACUAUGAAUGCCGCUCUCGUUAUGUUGAUUAUGUAAUUAAAAAUGAAAAUAUAUUUUGGUAGAGUGCUUCAUAGGCAUCUGUGACUCUCCUGUUCCUAUUUACCAUCCCCUGCCCCCAUCCCAUAAGAAAAGGCGAGAAUUGUGUGUCUGCUCAGUAGCUUUGUCCUGGAGCUGCAGUGCUGGCUGCCAAGCUAGUAUGUGUCAUGGGAGCAGCCACUUCAACCCUGCCGUGUUCAAGCUGCACGUCUUUUGGAAAACCCUGCUUAUUAAGCUCAUGAGAACUCCCUGGCAGGAAGCUGACCCUUAAACUGAAGCUGCUUUAAGUUCAUGUGAGGGGUUAACCUGAAUCCAGAAGAAGAAAAGUGAAAAGAAAGAGGCCUGGUUACUUCAGCAGUGAUAGCCGACCUCUGCCAUCAGCCAGGCUGCUCUGGUUACAAAUGUGGCCUCUGUCUAUCAAAGAGUGGAGGAAGAGAGAAGAGGAGGUGUAGCUUUCGUGUAAGUGGGUUAAAGCAAUUAUUGAGGCCUCUUACAGCAAAUGAAGUUGUCGAUGUGAGUCACAUUCCCUUUUUUCCCCUCACUGCCAAGUUUUAGGCAGCAACCAGACAGGGAGAAAAAAACGAAAAGCAACAACAGAGAAAAGUUGAACUGAAACAACCCUUCAUUCGGGGUAUUGUUUGACGUUAUAGUUCUGAUUGUACAUAGAGAUAAAAGGUCUAUAAAUAUCCUGUCUGCUGAAAUCCCUUAUCACAACAUCGCCUGUCAGCUGAACAAAUAGUUUAGGUUCUCCAAAUAAUAGAUAAUCACAUGUAUAAAUACAAAAUAAUUGAUUAUAUCCCUGGACCACGUGGGAUAAAGACCUGGUCACUGGAAAGGAUGUUCACCUCUUCUGGUUUGUUGAGGGAUGCCAUGGUCUCAGGGGAGCAAAUGGCACCCACGGCUGGCGCUGCAGAAGCCCUGUGAGCCCUGGACCGGGCUGAUAUAGGCGAGGCGAUAUCCAUCUGCCAGACUAGACCAGGUUUUAGGUUUAUCUGGACACAAUUGUUACUGAGUCCUGACUACAGUAUGUCGGGAUGGUGCUGGAAAGGAACAAGCACCGAGAAUACAGGGCUGCAGAAAUAGGAUACCCAGGAUUGUUUUGAACAGAGAAACGUGCAGCAAAGGAUGGCAAAAGCAAAAAAAGUGUCAGAAGGCUUCUCAGCAGUGCACUCAAAUCUCAGAUGAAGCUAGACUUAGGGAGUGAUAUCGUAUAGCAGUUGAGCCAACCCUAAUGGACUGAUGGUAUCUGAAGGACACUUCAGAAUGGAGGCUGGAGCUCUGAUGAGUGGGAGAGACACAGAUGUCAAGUUUCUGCUACAGCUUCGGGCAGUGCUGGGGGAUGCCUUGCUGCUGUCCCGCUCCUGACCUCCCACUGCUGCUCUGGGUAUUGUGAGGAACACAGCCUGAGCAGGGAGAGUGACGGAACUGGUGAAGACCUCACUGGUGACUUCUCACAUGGCAGAGAAGGGAGUAAAGGGAACUGCAGGAGCCCAGGAGUAUGUUGUCAUGGGUAAGAGCAGUGGAAGAGGAACUGAGGAGGAAAGAGGACAUAUGCAAAGUGACCACAGAAAGCUGCUGCAGCAAGCACCGGAAAAAUGCUUGAAUACAGAGCAAUGCUCCCAUCUGCCUAAUCUAGCUCUUAAAGCGUUUAUUCUUGUGUAUCCAUGUAGCUGUUCCUGAAUGGGGAGUCCUGUUUAUGUCCCUUAUUUAGGUAUACAUUGGGAGUCCUGUUUAUGUCCCUUAUUUAGGUAUACAUUUCUCCAAACUGGGAUUUGAUAAGAGAAGAACUGCUGCAUUUUUAUUAUCUGUGACAAGCACCAGAAAAGCUGUUGAGAGUUCAUGAUGGAAAUGUAUCCGUACAUUGGCAUUAAUCCAGCUGCACUACACAAAGGUAAAUGCGGCACAAGUGGUAUACUGCCCCCUUUUAAUCCACUUUCUAUAGAUGGGGGGGGGUACUCUGCCUCUCUGCAGGAAAGGUUGGCACAGCUACUGUGCUAAUAAAUGCUUGUUUCUCACUGCAGCAUAUGCACUUCCCAGCCUCAUAAAUCCAGGCAAAUUGUAGUUGAAUAACAAUUAAAUAUCCACAGACAUUUCCAUACCAUGGUCUGGUGUGCAAGACACAGGCCUAAGUGGCAGGACAUCUGCUGUCUGCUCUCCCACACUUACUCUUUGGCAGAGUACAAUGAGUUAAUCUUACCCUACCACCACUAAUGGCACCUGUAAAACCAGACACAGGGCAUCAGCCUACAGAUAUUUUGCCACAUCCUUCAAAAACGGCGGUAUUCUCUCUCGCAAUUGUUAGAUUAUUUUUUAAAGCAGCCUUUACUGUAAUAGUCAAACACACUUUUCAUUGUUGUUGAUCUUCCUCUCAGGAUUGCUAGGCCAGGGAUUCAGUUCAGCUCUGUUAUCCUCAGCGGGAAAUGAGACAUCAUACGGAAAAGUUAGUAGAGAUGCAGGAUGCUGAUAGAUCCUCGCCACAAUUUGUGUCACUUGUACAAAACCCAGAGACUUGGUAAUGCAGCGAGAUAAAUGCAGCACUUGAUUACACUGGAUGUAUUGCAGUUAAAAAACGCAUCUCUUAUUGUCAGGCUCUGCGUAUCUGGAGUAAUAACCCCUGCAUGAUAGGUAUGAAAACGAUAAUGUGAGCCACAUCAUUUUCUCAUCCUUCAAACUUUCAAAAUCCAAAAAGCUACAAAUGGCUUAAUUAUUAAUUCAGUUUAGCUAAAUCUAGUGCAAGUGGCCAGGGGGAACAUCUUUCUGAAGCUAAUCCUUCCCCUGGUUCAAAUGAUAACACUAUGUGGCACAGCUUACAAUAUUCUAGCCAUUUAAAGUAGUAAGAAUCGUAUGCGGUUGUAACACAUCUUGAAUUUCCAUGCAGCAGGGUGACCACACAGAACUGCAGCUCAGAUCUUCCAAUUCAUUCCCCAAAGUUGAACAAACAGAUAAGCCUUCUAGCUUGUUCUGAACUUAAGAAUCUUCCUUCAGUGGUGAAGCUUUAUGAGACACAAGGCCUGCUUUUGCCUUGUUGUUGCAGAAUUAGCUAUCAAAAUGCUUACUCCCUAUAGAAUGGCAGAAACCUUGGAUUUCCUCCCCGACCUCCACCCCAUGUGCCUGUCAGCCACAACACAAGUCCUAGCCGUGAUCACAAGAACAUCCUGAACUGGUCUCAAUCAUUUGAUAGAAUAGAAUCAUUUGAUAUAUAGAAUAUAUAUCAUUUGAUUCUAUGAUUCUAUCUGCAUUUCCUUGCCAGAGGUCUUAUCUGGGGGUGCAAAUUGCACCAUCAACGUUGCUGGUGUUGAAAAACUGGCACCCUUCUGCUCCCCAGCUCUGUGCUUCCAGGCGAGGUCAACUUAUCCAGAAGAAUUAAUUGAAACAACAAAGCUGUCAAGCAGGAAAGGCCACACAGCGAGGCAGCGCUGCUCUGAACAUCUGCACAAUUUGUGUAUUUGAUGAGGUACCUCCACGCUGGCAGGUUAUUGCUGUGCGAAGCAAAUCUUUACUGUUUCUGUUUUCAUCCAGGGCUUUGGGCUGUGAUUCUGCAGAUGUUUGUUCUCUGUAUGCCCACGUUGUUUAAAAAAAGUGACAAAUGCUGAUGGUAAAAAUCACAUUUGCUCAUUCAAACAUCUUCAUAUUUACAUAUAAGAAAAAUCACGUGCGAGGUGUCCGGUGACCUAACAAGAGGGGCAACGUGGGCUUCAGCAGGAGGCGCGUGGGGCCCUCAAAAUCUGCUUCUCUCGUGCAAACAGUCUCCUGAUAUAUAUAAUGGAAACCUCCUUUAGUUUAUCACGACAGAUGCCACAGGGAGUUGUCUAUUUGGAUAUUAUUUUUUCUGUAGGAGUGUUUAUUAACAAAUGCUUGGAAUUUUUAUGAUGUGGUGAAAACUACCUCUCACGAUAAACAGGAAGCUCGGAGGUAUUGCAUUACCCCUGUAAUGCAACAGGGAUCCCAGCAGCUUGGCCUUUUUUUCAACGUACUGUGAUACCACUUCCUUCAGGAAACCUCUCUCAUCUGCACAGCUCUUAUCUGCUAUAGAUUGGCAAAAACGCAAAAGAAAUGGUUGUGUUAAAAAUGAAUGGUGAUUUCACAUUCUGACCGUAGAAAAGGAUGUCUGGAAUGUAUGGAAUAUCUAUUAAAAAAAGAGCAGCAGGGACUCUGGGCUCUCAGGUCAGUGGGCUGAAAAAGCGUGCAAGGAGAAGAGACUGACAGCCUUCCUUCCCUCCCACAGCACAGAUAGCAAAGGUGCAGAUUUCCCUGCAGGUGCUUGAAGUGUCUCAGCCAUAAAGCUGGCAUUGCCCCCUUCUGCGGUCACUGUUCAGUGUCAGCAAGGUCAGGGCUGGGCCAGUAAAGGAGGAAAGGCAGUCCCAAGUACGACAGUCCUAAGUAUGACAGCUCAUAUGUAGAACCUUAUGCUCAGAAUAACUGUGCUGUGCCCUCCACCUCGCUCCUGAAGGCUGCCGCGCUUGAUGGUACAUCAGUGUGGGCUGAACCCUGGAGACUGGUAUGUGGAAAUCUCACAAUCUGGUUAGUAUGCUGUUUCUUCCCUGUUACUUUUUUCUGUUUGGCCACUGCCCAUCAUUUAGAUUACAGAUAAUGACAGGAGACAACUAGGAAGUAUAUCAUCACAAAAAUCAUUAGGUAGGUGUUUAUUGGUGAGGAGCAUCACCCCAGCUAACAGCAUCAUGCGAAAGUGAGUCCUAGUGAGCUCUUUUUAGGCCUGACACCAUCCCCAAACCAGUUCCCCCUGAAGGGACUUGUGUGCCUGCCAGGUGCUCCAUGUGCACCAAGGCAGAUGCAAUGGGAUCUGGGUAUCGCCCCUCCAACUACGACCCCACUAUUCCCAUAGCACAUUCCCUCUACCUGUCCCAUAUUACUUUUGUUUUACAUUCCCUCUCCUUCUAUUUUCUCUUUUAUUCUUUCCCUCAUCAUCCUUUCUCCUCUACCCUCGCAUCACCCAAGCUCUUCAUCACAAACACCCAUUAAUUUUUAGCUAUAAGAAUUAUUACAAAGGCAGUUACUGUAAUAUCUGGACCAUGUAAACCCCUAAUAAUUCUGUUUCUACAUUCUAGACUUCUGCCUCCAUUGGAGGCAACACUUGUCCUGUCUACAGCUGAACCGAGAACAAGGGAGGGGAACAGGCUGCAUAUUUUAGUACUUGUAAAUCAUUAGGCUUGUGAGGUUUUGUAAUAAUCUCAUCUGCUUUUUUUUGCAUUUUCUUGUCUCUUCCUAGCAAUCAAUGGCAUCAGAAAUACAGCGAUCAAGAGAUUGAUAUACACAGUAGCUAAAUCCUUCUGUAAAAAUGUAGUAGCCUUCCAAUCCAUAAAGCUUUGGCACAAGAAAACAGUGGUCACACCCUGGGGCUUCCGUGGCAUCCUCACAAGUCACUGUAACGUUCUCUAUAAAUGUGGACUAUACGUAUGGCGUUUUAAUCAGUCCUGUAAAAUAACUUUUUAUCUGGCGGCUCCGUUCCCUUAUCACCCACAGCUUGUUUACAGAGCUUUAAGUCUUGGGCAAGAUGGAGCAAGCUUAUGAAGAGUAGCUGGUUUUCAAAAGAUACAAGCUGCAGAUAACCAAGGACAAGUAAAGCAUACAACAAUACUGAAAUCACUCGGUUUUAUUGCAGCUGACUGAGACAGAAUGUGCUGGGAAAUUUCCAUUACUGAAGUGCCUGGAUACUGCUGCUGCUGCAGCUGAAACAUAAAAGCAACUUAAUUUUAUAUAGACAGCAACAAAACACCAGUAUAUUAAUUAAAAUUGUUACAGUUAUAUAAUAAUCUUUUCAAAUUGCUUUAAAAUUGAUCCUUAUUAAAAUACUUGGGAGUAUAAUUGUAAUCGACUUGUACAAAACUAAGGAACGUAAAAACAACUUAAAAUUGCAAACCAUGUUUGUAAACAGCAAAUCAAACAAGAACAUGACAGAUAAUACAUCUUUUACACUAACGACAGGAUCUGACAGUGACAGAGUUAUACCUGCUGCAAGAUCAAGGCUGUUACUGACAGUACAGUUCUGCCGAUAAUAAUCUUUUGUGUUCCCCUUGGCACGCCCAGAACACAGCAAUGUGUUGAAUGAUUUUAGUUCCAUGGUGUAUAAGGCACCGUUAGCUUCCUGCAAAGUCAGUCAGAAUGCCGAAUGGGGAAAAAGGGAAAUACUGGGGGGAGAAAGUAAAUUUGUUUUGGCACCAGUUGCCUGGCAAUUUGGGUGAGAGCUUGUUUUUAACUUCCCAAUGGUGUAUGAUUACACAAAGGUCCUCAUUUUCAUGGAGGUGACUUUAUACUGUCAAAGCAGUGGCUGAUGUGUCACUGAAAAUCAGUCUGAAGGGGGUUUGGCUGGAUGUCACCCUCUAAAUCAAACCCAGGUAGGUGCUGACUACAAGUUGUGAGUGUUUGAUGCUCUCCAUGAAUCUUAGGAUCUGAACCCUGUGGAUUAGAGAUCCUAUCUAAGCAAUUUAAGUUUGUGUCACAGUCAUCACCAUGGUUCCUGAGUGCCUUAGAAGUUAAAAUAUAUCGUUAUAAAACAUCUUACAUGUCUUAUUUCACGCUCUCAGUACCCCUGCACAGAGGCUUGAGGUCUUUCUAAAUAAUGCUGGGAAAAAUGUUUUAUAUCCCUAAUUGCCUUCAUUUUGUUGGGAAGAUGGGGCGGCUCGGGGUCACGCUGAGGGAUUCCAAAGGCAAAUGUGAUAAUCCUACAGCAGCUACCAACAAAGCUACAUCUUCCAUGUCCUCACCAGGUAAUACAAUAGCGAAGAUUUGAGGAGAUGUAGCUUUGGUUUUAAAUUCAUACAAGAAUUUGAAAUCCCUUCCACCCCCAAUAAACACCAUACGGGGUUUGUCCUCGGCCUAAUUCCAAUAAUGCUGUUUCCAGGACUCGCAGGGCCUUUUGCAGAUGACAUUUACUUUUUGAGACCCCUAUUUACAGGUCAUGAAGUUAACAGUUGCAGUAGAUAUGUGUAACAGUACAGAGAAUCUCCAGACCCUGAUUGUAGGAUGAACUCAUCCAUGUGACUCCCAAACUUGACAAGAUGGAGAUAGUCCAAACCUUGGCAUAUUUAAACUGACCAAUUGUAUGGCUUAGCUGUUUCCUAAAAUAGGUUUCAAAUCGAAGACGCUGUGUUUGUGUUUGGAAAAACUUUUAGCAGUGUUUCUAUUUCUUUUUGAAACAAAUUUUUUUUUCCCUCCCGGUUCUCAUUACCUGCUGUCAUUUUCCACUGUCUUUUGUACUGUCAGCUCUUCUCCCCCAACGCAACCCUUUAUUUUGAUCAUGAAACUAAAACACAUUUUCCAGAACUGAGGCUUUAAUGUCACCUUGUUAAGGUACCAGACCAAACAUUAAGUGCAGGUAAUGGCAGUGCAUUUAAACGGGGCAAAAAGCAGUUGAUAACACUUCUGCCUGGUCUGCCUGCCUCACUGCAAGACAUACCCUCAGUUCUGUCACAGGGGGAAUUGCUAGGAAAGCACGCCAUGGCCUUCUGACCGCUUACUUGUGUUUAAUUUGAUUAGAUAUAUAUUUAAGCAUAGCACCUGAAAGAACUGAUAAGUCUCUCCAUGGUCUGCCUGGUUGGUUUCCUUUUUGAUGAGAUUCAUCCUGGUGAAGGUAGAAAAUAAUCUAGAUACGUGCCAGUUUUCUAAUUAACUUUUGCUAUGACAGGCUGUGUUUAAGCUAGAUUCACUACAAUAAUUUGUUUUGCAUUUUCUGAUGACAGAACUAUUUAUGUAUGUAAUCAGAACUGUAAGCAUAAUUUCAUUUUUUAGAGUUAAGAGAACCUUUUAAAUAAUAUUUACUUUGUUUCAGAAAAUUUAAACAUUUAUUCACAUUUCCCGCCGUCUAAAAUUUCUGAGAAAAACAACUCUGUGUUUCUAAAGUGCAGAAGAGCACAUCACAGAAAGCGUUAUCUACAAGUAAAAAUAAAUGCAUCAGAAGCAUCACUAAAAUACAUAAAUCCUAAAGCUGUAUUGUUGAAUGCCUGUUAUAUGUAGUGAGGAGUCUGUUAGAUUGCAUUGGUCUCACUGGUGACAGCUGGUGUCAUCAGACUGGCUGGAACUGCCUCUGGAGCUCAGGCUGACUGGCCA